GAUGAACGCUGGCGGCGUGCCUAAUACAUGCAAGUCGAGCGAAUGGAUUAAGAGCUUGCUCUUAUGAAGUUAGCGGCGGACGGGUGAGUAACACGUGGGUAACCUGCCCAUAAGACUGGGAUAACUCCGGGAAACCGGGGCUAAUACCGGAUAACAUUUUGAACCGCAUGGUUCGAAAUUGAAAGGCGGCUUCGGCUGUCACUUAUGGAUGGACCCGCGUCGCAUUAGCUAGUUGGUGAGGUAACGGCUCACCAAGGCAACGAUGCGUAGCCGACCUGAGAGGGUGAUCGGCCACACUGGGACUGGGACACGGCCCAGACUCCUACGGGAGGCAGCAGUAGGGAAUCUUCCGCAAUGGACGAAAGUCUGACGGAGCAACGCCGCGGGAGUGAUGAAGGCUUUCGGGUCGUAAAACUCUGUUGUUAGGGAAGAACAAGUGCUAGUUGAGUAAGCUGGCACCUUGACGGUACCUAACCAGAAAGCCACGGCUAACUACGUGCCAGCCGCCGCAGUAA
rnacentral:rRNA from 1 species